ensembl:misc_RNA Metazoa_SRP Metazoan signal recognition particle RNA
GCCGGGUGUGGUAGUGUGCACCUGUAGCCCCAUCUACUUGGAUGCUGAGGUGGGAGGAUCCCUGGAGCUCAGGAGUUUGAGGCUGCAGUGAGCUAUGAUCGAGCCACUGCACUCUAGCCUGGGCGACAAAGGGAGUCCCUGUCUCAA